UACGUAGGGAGCAAGCGUUAUCCGGAUUUACUGGGUGUAAAGGGAGCGUAGACGGCAGCGCAAGUCUGGAGUGAAAUGCCGGGGCCCAACCCCGGAACUGCUUUGGAAACUGUGCAGCUGGAGUGCAGGAGAGGUAAGCGGAAUUCCUAGUGUAGCGGUGAAAUGCGUAGAUAUUAGGAGGAACACCAGUGGCGAAGGCGGCUUACUGGACUGUAACUGACGUUGAGGCUCGAAAGCGUGGGUAUCGAACAGG
rnacentral:rRNA from 1 species